CGCUAAAAGAACAGUUUAAUAAUGCCACACCCAUCCCCACCCACAGUUGUCCCCUAUCUCCAGACCUCAUUCGCAAUGAAGUAGAAUGUCUGAAAGCAGAUUUCAACCACAGAAUCAAGGAGGUUCUCUUCAACUCCCUCUUCAGUGCCUACUAUGUUGCAUUUCUCCCCCUGUGUUUUGUGAAGAGUACCCAGUACUAUGACAUGCGCUGGUCAUGUGAGCACCUCAUUAUGGUGUGGAUCAAUGCUUUUGUCAUGCUCACCACGCAACUGUUGCCAUCCAAAUACUGUGAUUUGCUACAUAAAUCAGCUGCUCACCUGGGCAAGUGGCAGAAGUUGGAACAUGGGUCCUACAGCAAUGCUCCACAGCACAUGUGAGUAAGCUAGAGGGUAAAACCAUGUAACACUUUCUACAUGCUGCUGAUCAUGUUUAUUUGCUUUGUAUGUCAUUCUUGUUCUUGGCUUUGAACAUUUAAUUUUUAGUUUUUGUCUUACAUGGAUGCUUGUCGUCAUGCUAAACUGAAUACAAGGGACAUUAACUCAUUUCCACCACCACCCCAGCUCCUUAAAUGCGUU
rnacentral:sRNA from 1 species